UCUAAAACCACUCUCCACUCUCCAAUGUCUUCUGUAUCAUACGAAAAUGCAAAGUCCGCUUUGAUUGUUUCUUUCCUGUUCAUUGUCAUGAACGGAGAACUGCUCACCACCCAUUUGGCGGCUUUGACCGCCCCGGCGGCUGCCGCAGCUCCUCCGGCGGCCCCACCAACCCACACAAUGAAUGAACUUUUUGACAAACACAAAAAGGUUCUUGAAGCAUUGGGAUAUUUAUUAAAUUCACUUGCUUUCAUGUUUCUCUUGAACCUCUCCAUAAAAAAUAGGUCAGAACUUCUUCUCAGCUUCCUUGUUACCGCUUUGGACGGAGUUAUUGCAGCAUGUAUGGCUGCAAUAUACUCACUGGGAUUUGCCAAAGGAUUGGGGAUCCUUUGUGGCUGUAUUUGCUUUAUAAUGAUGUUGUUACAGUCGAGGAACUUUAGGGGUACUGUGAAUGGAUUACAACCCUGCUUUUGAUCAUCCUUCGUUGGAAUGACAAUAUUUGUUAAUAAACAAUGGAAGAUUAUCCAGAAGAAUUACGAACUCCACCCAUGACACUAACCCCUAUAUGGUAGGUUGUUCCAAUCUUCAUCCUCUAAUCUCAACCUACCUAUUAUCACAACAACCUCCAAUCAACACCUUAGCACUUCCAGAUUUAUCCAAAAUCAAUCUUUUCAACAAGAAAAAACCCGAUCCUGAUUCCAUUAUCAAUUCCUCUUCACCUCCUUUCAUUGUUAACGGUAUUUUCAAACGUGAUUGGCUUCUCAAACACCGUACCAAAAUGCAAAAUCCCUUCCGUUCUUGCCGCGCUUUUUCCGACUAAUCAUGUUUUCGGUGAUCCUUCUCAGUGGCUUCAAGUUUGCUCCGAUCUCGAUUCCAUCAAAAGUGUUAUUCGUGCAAGGAAUAUUAAAUUAGUUGUUGUACUUGUUCACACCAAUGCAAAUGAUGUGGUUAGUGAAGAUAGAAUGAUUGCGUUACGGAAACGAGCUGAAUUAGAAGCGAAGUAUGUUGUUAUAUUGAUGAAUCCUAAUGAUGAAUCGGCAAUGCAAUUGU